rnacentral:rRNA from 1 species
UACGUAGGCAGCGAGCGUUGUUCGGAAUUACUGGGCGUAAAGAGUGUGUAGGCGGUGCUCUAAGUUCGGUGUGAAAUCUCCUGGCUCAACCGGAAAAGUGCCUCGGAUACUGGUUCACUCGAGGGAGGUAGGGGCCCGCGGAACUUCCGGUGGAGCGGUGAAAUGCGUUGAUAUCGGAAGGAACGCCGGUGGCGAAAGCGGCGGGCUGGCCCUCUUCUGACGCUGAGGCGCGGAAAGCCAGGGGAGGCGAACGGG